rnacentral:rRNA from 1 species
GAUGAACGCUAGCUACAGGCUUAACACAUGCAAGUCGAGGGGAAACGAUAGAGAAAGCUUGCUUUUUCUAGGCGUCGACCGGCGCACGGGUGAGUAACGCGUAUCCAACCUGCCCAUCACUUGGGGAUAACCUUGCGAAAGUAAGACUAAUACCCAAUGACGUCUCUAGAAGACAUCUGAAGGAGAUUAAAGAUUUAUCGGUGAUGGAUGGGGAUGCGUCUGAUUAGCUUGUUGGCGGGGUAACGGCCCACCAAGGCGACGAUCAGUAGGGGUUCUGAGAGGAAGGCCCCCCCACAUUGGAACUGAGACACGGUCCAAACUCCUACGGGAGGCAGCAGUGAGGAAUAUUGGUCAAUGGACGAGAGUCUGAACCAGCCAAGUAGCGUGCAGGAUGACGGCCCUAUGGGUUGUAAACUGCUUUUAUAAGGGAAUAAAGUGAGUCUCGUGAGACUUUUUGCAUGUACCUUAUGAAUAAGGACCGGCUAAUUCCGUGCCAGCAGCCG